GAAACUCGGAUUAAUACCGGAUAUUCUUAUUUUUUCACAUGAAGUUUUAAGGAAAGGUCAGCCGAACUAAGAUGAGCUCGCGUUCUAUCAGCUAGUUGGUGGGGUAAAAGCCUACCAAGGCUACGACGGAUAGCUGGUCUGAGAGGACGAUCAGCCACACUGGGACUGAGACACGGCCCAGACUCCUACGGGAGGCUGCAGCAGGGAAUAUUGUGCAAUGAGCGAAAGCUUGACACAGCGACACCGCGUGUGGGAUGAC
rnacentral:rRNA from 1 species